rnacentral:rRNA from 1 species
GACGAACGCUGGCGGCGUGCUUAACACAUGCAAGUCGAACGGAAAGGCCCUGCUUUUGUGGGGUGCUCGAGUGGCGAACGGGUGAGUAACACGUGAGUAACCUGCCCUUGACUUUGGGAUAACUUCUGGAAACUGGGGCUAAUACCGGAUAGGAGCUCCUGCUGCAUGGUGGGGGUUGGAAAGUUUCGGCGGUUGGGGAUGGACUCGCGGCUUAUCAGCUUGUUGGUGGGGUAGUGGCUUACAAAGGCUUUGACGGGUAGCCGGCCUGAGAGGGUGAACGGCCACAUUGGGACUGAGAGACGGCCCAGACUCCUACGGGAGGCAGCAGUGGAGAAUAUUGCACAAUGGGCGGAAGCCUGAUGCAGCAACGCCGCGUGCGGGAUGACGGCCUUCGGGUUGUAAACCGCUUUCGCCUGUGACGAAGCGUGAGUGACGGUAAUGGGUAAAGAAGCACCGGCUAACUACGUG